GGCGUAUACAGAGAGAGGCGAGCCAGCGAAGGGAAGCGGAACUCAGAAGGUACGUCGAAGUCCGGAUUAGAGUCUGCAACUCGACUCCAUGAAGUCGGAAUCGCUAGUAAUCGCGGAUCAACAUGUCGCGGUGAAUACGUUCCCGGGCCUUGUACACACCGCCCGUCACACCAUAGGAGUGGGUUGCAAAAGAAGUAGGUAGCUUAACCUUUUUGGAUGGCGCUUACCACUUUGUGAUUCAUGACUGGGGCGAAGUCGUAACAAGGUAACCGUAGGGGAACCUGCGGUUGGAUCACCUCCUUACCU
rnacentral:rRNA from 1 species